rnacentral:rRNA from 1 species
UACGAAGGGGUGCAAGCGUUAAUCGGAAUUACUGGGGCGUAAAGCGUGCGUAGGCGGUUUGUUAAGUCUGUUGUGAAAUCCCCGGGCUCAACCUGGGAAUGGCAAUGGAUACUGGCAAGCUAGAGUGUGUCAGAGGAUGGUGGAAUUCCCGGUGUAGCGGUGAAAUGCGUAGAGAUCGGGAGGAACAUCAGUGGCGAAGGCGGCCAUCUGGGAC